rnacentral:tRNA from 1 species
GGUCCCGUGGUGUAGUGUAACAUGCCUGCCUGUCACGCAGGAGAUCGCCGGUUCGACCCCGGUCGGGACCGCCA